UACGAAGGGGGCUAGCGUUGCUCGGAAUCACUGGGCGUAAAGGGUGCGUAGGCGGGCCUUUAAGUCAGGGGUGAAAUCCUGGAGCUCAACUCCAGAACUGCCUUUGAUACUGAAGAGCUUGAGUCCGGGAGAGGUGAGUGGAACUGCGAGUGUAGAGGUGAAAUUCGUAGAUAUUCGCAAGAACACCAGUGGCGAAGGCGGCUCACUGGCCCGGUACUGACGCUGAGGUGCGAAAGCGUGGGGAGCAAACAGG
rnacentral:rRNA from 1 species